UCAGCCCACUUCUGUAGAAGGUGUUGCUCUACCUAAGAGCACCUGUCUGUUUGUUGCUAGUUUUGCUCACUAUCCCCUUUCCAAAGUAUUCGGCAAUCACGGAAAACCCAUCCUUUGAUGUCUUCACCUGCUGGAAAAAUAGAUCUUGGUCCUUGGCAUUUUGCUCCAAACUUCUCUUCAUUUCCAGUACAGACCGGUACUCGGGUGCACACUCGGGGCAUUCCUUUUCAUUAUCACCAAGACAACGCUGAUGGAAUGAAUGCAUACACAUAAAGUGGACAGCGGGGAGAUCCAGCGUAAAUGUGCACGCUGUGCACUUGCUAAGCUGAAAAAUUCUAGCAUUUGUUCUAAGAUCCUCAAUUUCUUUUCUCAUAGUCUGUGUAUCUUCCUGCAGAGGCAUUUAACCAAAAAAAAAGAAAAAAAGAAUGUCAGUCCAGAUGGUUCUAGCAUACUUUGAUUUAAAACUUCACCAAAUCUAUCAAGCCUCAAAAGCGCAAAACAUGUAUGUGACACAAAUCAAAAGAGUUGCCAAGUCCACAAGUCCACUUGCGUAGUUUUUUUUUUUUUUUUUUUUGUGGGGGGGGGGGGGGGGUUGGGAGGAAUUAUUUAAUUAUAUUUCAGGAAAUAAUAUGGGUGUCACCCACUUGCGCAAAUCCAAUGUGUUUCUGCGUAAAUGUGCCCAUAUACCAACCCAUUCAUUAAGAUCUCCAUCAAUUGCGAUGAAAGAGAUGAUUAUCAACUGCACGAUCAAAUGUACUAUAAAUUUGUCAAAGAUGCAAAGUUACAGAGGACAUCACGGUUGCCACUGCUAGCUGCUUCACACUUCUAUCAUUAAUUAAUUAGAAAUUCUGAAGUUUGACAAUCUUAAAUUUUCUCCAGCCUUAUAGCCACCAGUCCUUAUAUCUUGCCAUUCCCUCUAAUCAACAGUUCAUCUUAAACGGUCGAUAAGAUCCACUAUUAACUCACAUCAAAGCAUUUCAGUAAUUAGGCCAAGAAUGAGCAAACUCAUGUUUUGUCUUUGGAAAGCAUUUCAACAAGUUUCAAUUUUCCAAAUAUUAGUCAAGAAAAAACUAUUAACUGCAAAAUCUCCACGUCUUAAAACACCAAUAAGGCUUCCUUUUCAAUAUAUCCAAAUUAAGAUGUGGUGUGUUAUUAUGUCAAUUUUGUUAACAUCUACGGAAAAUCAUGUACUGGUAGCCAUCAGUUCACAUGUUAAAGUAAAAUAAGUACACCAAUCCCUCUUUAGCAAUAAUAUGUCAAGGAACUACAUAACCUAACUGGAGGAGGGGACAGAGAUAAAUCAAAAUUUCACUUGUUAAAAUGAUCGAGCAAAUAUUAGUCAAGAUACAAAAAUAUUAAGCACGUAAAAGGGGAUAAGCAAAAAGGGACAUAACCUGAUAUUUCUCAACAGCUCGUCGAUCUUCUUCAAUGAGUUUAGAUUCCUGCUCAAGCUUUCUUGCAAUAUAGUCCUUGAUAACGGAGAGAGUGAGGCAAGGAUUUUUAGAAAGCAUCUGAAGAACAAUUAUAGGAGGUAAUAUGUCAUCCCUCUCUAUGUAAGUCAGGACUUCCUUUACUUCUUUGGAGCAAUCUUCACCAAGCUCACCAAAAUAUUUCAGGAGGUCUGCCCAAAGAGUCGGAUCCCCUCCCCUACCCGAAUCCCCUAGCCUUUUACAGCAUGCUAUCAAACCCUCAUGGUCA
rnacentral:lncRNA from 1 species